GGGGACGACUUGGUUUCGACAUGAAUUGCAAAACAUAAAGUGUAUGUCGAGGUGUUAAUACUCGUAAAACUUAGCAAACUUAUAGUUGCAAACGAAAACAACUACGCAAUCGCGGCCUGAUCGCUGCGAAGCCAAAGCACAGAUCUCUUGUAGUCUAUGUGGCGGUGCAACACAUACAAGAUAGUUUUUAACCUAACCCUUAGGAUAAUUACGAAACCUCUCAAAGGGUUGCUUUUUUGAAUAAACCUGUUUGUCGGUUGUUUGAAAACUAAGACUAAAAGACAAUACUAAACAUAUAGACCUUUAUGCAGAGUGUUUGUGGACGGGGGUUCAACUCCCCCCGUCUCCACCA
rnacentral:tmRNA from 1 species